rnacentral:rRNA from 1 species
GACGAACGCUGGCGGCGUGCCUAAUACAUGCAAGUCGAGCGCAGGAAGUCAUCCGAACCCUUCGGGGGGACGGUGACGGAAUGAGCGGCGGACGGGUGAGUAACACGUAAAGAACCUGCCCUCAGGUCUGGGAUAACCACGAGAAAUCGGGGCUAAUACCGGAUGGGUCAUCGGACCGCAUGGUCCGAGGAUGAAAGGCGCUUCGGCGUCGCCUGGGGAUGGCUUUGCGGUGCAUUAGCUAGUUGGUGGGGUAACGGCCCACCAAGGCGACGAUGCAUAGCCGACCUGAGAGGGUGAUCGGCCACACUGGGACUGAGACACGGCCCAGACUCCUACGGGAGGCAGCAGUAGGGAAUCUUCCACAAUGGACGAAAGUCUGAUGGAGCAACGCCGCGUGAACGAUGAAGGCCCUCGGGUCGUAAAGUUCUGUUGUAAGGGAAGAACAAGUGCCGCAGGCAAUGGCGGCACCUUGACGUACCUACG